ACUAUACAAUUUUAAAUGGGGAUGGCUGAAGAGAAGAAAUCAAAUUACAAUAAAAUAAUGUGAAAACUAAUAGUAUGCUCUGAACAAAAGUAGAAAAAUUGUUGCUGGGUGUAUACUUAGGUACUGUCAAACUUUUUCUAACAGAUGGAUUUAGCGAUAUAAUUAGUUUCAAUAAUAACCCAAGUGCUCAAAUUAGCUUAUUCAUACAUGUACGACUGCAGCCACUCAUCCCUGUUCAAAGAUCUAACAAUACAAGUCCCUCAGUGGAUCAGUAAGGUAUUAUAACAAAAUACAGACCAGGAGGAGUAUGAACAAGUAUGCCUAUCAUAAAUGGACAAAAUACACUUAUGAAUUUACUCAUACUUUAAUCAUUUACAUUUAUUAAUUUUGAAACAGGCCUUUCACUCAUUGUCAAAUGACAAGUACUUUAUAGAUUGAAUAUAUAGAGAAUUGAAUUUUGUCCUGUGCUACAGAAACUAUUACCUGGCAAUGUUAUGCAGCAGUGAGGGAAAAACAAUGGUAUGUAAACAUUCUAUACAUGUAAACAUUAUAACCCUAAUUUGAUCACAAAAUGUGUGCCUCCAGUCAGUGACAAAGCAGUCUGUUCAGUAAAUACCCUUCUCAAUUUUGAACAUAAUCCAGCAGCAUAUGUCUAUCUUGUAAAUGUGAUUCCUUUUUAGUAAUAUUUCCUAGACAUAGUAAGUCAGGCCUCUCUCAAGUCAUUCAGUUCCACUGAAAAUAAUAAUACAAAUCCUGCACUAAUUUAAUUAAAUUUGCAUAUUCCUGACCCACUGAGUUUUUGCAUUCCAUGAGAACUUUACCAACACAUUAUCAAACCAUAAAUGUAUCAAAUUAGCAUCACUACUUUAGCAGGGAUGUAGUAUACUUCUCUGCGUACUUAGUAUUGUUUAACAGGAUUUACACUGCAAAUGGUAGACAGACAUAAUUCAAUUGAUAGUCCAUGAAAAGGUAUCUUAUAAAGGCACAGUCAAACAAAGUCUGACUAGCAUAAUCAUUACACAACUAAAAUUCAAAUGACUGCAUACUUAAAGUUAGAGCUUCCUAGUCCCUUCUCCACUCUCUUCCAAAAACUCACUCAUUUACCAAAGAAGAAGAGUACUUUAAAACUUAGCUCAGAUAAAGUAUAUGACAGCAGGAACCCUUAGAUCACUGGAGCAAUGC